AUUGAACGCUGGCGGAAUGCUUUACACAUGCAGGUCGAACGGCAGCACGGACUUCGGUCUGGUGGCGAGUGGCGAACGGGUGAGUAACAUAUCGGAACGUAUCUAAUAAUGGGGGAUAACGAGUCGAAAGAUUCGCUAAUACCGCAUACGCCCUACGGGGGAAAGCUGGGGAACUUCGGGCCUGGCGUUAAUGGAGCGGCCGAUAUCUGAUUAGCUAGUUGGUGAGGUAAAGGCUCACCAAGGUGACGAUCAGUAGCUGGUCUGAGAGGACGACCAGCCACACUGGAACUGAGACACGGUCCAGACUCCUACGGGAGGCAGCAGUGGGGAAUUUUGGACAAUGGGCGCAAGCCUGAUCCAGCCAUUCCGCGUGAGUGAAGAAGGCCUUCGGGUUGUAAAGCUCUUUCGCAAGGGAAGAAAACUUAGCCACUAACAUUGGUUGAGGUUGACGGUACCUUGAUAAGAAGCACCGGCUAACUACGUGCCAGCCGCCGCAGUAA
rnacentral:rRNA from 1 species